rnacentral:rRNA from 1 species
UGCGUAACGCGUAAGUAACUUGCCCAAGGUAAGGAAUAACGUCGAGAAAUCGGCGCUAAUACCGUCAUAAUGCAGCGGAUCCGCGUGGAUAUGUUGUUAAAGGUUACGCCUUGGGAUAGGCUUGCGUCUGACUAGCUAGUUGGUGUGGUAAUGGCACACCAAGGCUACGAUCAGUAACUGGUCUGAGAGGAUGAUCAGUCACACUGGAACUGAGACACGGUCCAGACUCCUACGGGAGGCAGCAGUGAGGAAUAUUGGGCAAUGCACGAAAGUGUGACCCAGCAACGCCGCGUGGAGGAUGAAGGUAUUCUAUAUCGUAAACUCCUGUGAGAGCAGACGAAAGACAGAUUAUUAAUUUGGAUGACUGUAUGCUCAGAGGAAGCCCCGGCUAACUACGUG